rnacentral:rRNA from 1 species
GACGAACCGUGCGAACGUUAUUCGGAAUCACUGGGCUUAAAGCGCGUGUAGGCGGGCCGGCACGUCGGUCGCUGAAAUCCCCCGGCUCAACCGGGGAAGGGGCGCCGAUACGACCGGCCUGGAGGGACGUAGGGGGGGCUGGAACUUCCGGUGGAGCGGUGAAAUGCGUUGAGAUCGGAAGGAACGCCCGUGGCGAAAGCGAGCCCCUGGACGUCUACUGACGCUGAGGAGCGAAAGCGUGGGGAGCGAACAGG